CCAAAUUAGUCACAUGAUACAUUUGUAAUUCACCUUCCUGUUUGAAGAAGGGUAUAUAAAUAUAUACAGACUGAAGGAAUGAUGAGUGAACCAUUUAAGAUAAGAGAACGUCCGUCGACUUGAUGAAGAAUCAAAACGAAGUGUAAAAUAACGAUUUGGUAAACAGAUGAUGAUUCAAAUAUAAGGAAUAAUGGCAAGUAACUGGAGUGUUUGCGGGGUGUGUGAUUAUCGCCACAUUACAAAACCAUCAGUUGUCUGGUGUUCAGAGUGUGAUGAAGGGCUCUGUGAAGAAUGUAAAGACCAUCAUGGUAUUUCAAAAGGAUCAAGAAAUCAUCAAACCGUAUCUAUUGCAGAGUAUCAGAAACUGCCAAACAAAGUAUUAAAAUUGGCACGUUCUUGUGCUAAGCACAAUGAGAAAUACGUGCUGUUCUGUAAAAAGCAUGACUGUCCGUGCUGCAAGAAAUGUGUAGUGGAAUCACACAUGGAAUGUAAAGAAUUGACCGAUAUCGAUGAUAUAACACGAAACAUCAAAUCUUCAAAUGCUUUUGCAGACAUCGAACAGACCUUAUCAGAAAUUGCAGAGAAUAUUAAAAGACUUCGAAUCAACCGGGAAGACAAUUUGGCGUCAAUCGGGAAAAAGAGUAGAGAAAUUGAAAAAGAGGUUCUAGAAACUCGUGCUAGGAUUAAUCUUCAUCUAGAUAAACUACAGGAUGC